rnacentral:lncRNA from 1 species
UUUUUAUAUAUUUAUUUUCUGAAUUUUCAGUUUAUUUAUUUAUUUAUUUAUUUUCUGAAUUUCAAGUUUAUUUAUUUAUUUAUUUUUGAAUUUUCAGUUUAUUUAUUUUCCAGUUUAUUUAUUUCCAGUUUAUUUACUUAUUUAUUUAUUUAUUUAUUUAUUUCCAGUUUAUUUAUUUUCCAUUUUAUUUAUAUAUUUAUUUUCUGAAUUUUCACCUAAUAAAAUAAUGCCAAAUAGUUAGUGCAAGAUUAGUAAAAGUAACUACAAUACAUUAACACUACCCUUUUAGUCUUUUACACCACCUUUACACCACCUUUUUCAGCUUUCUUAAAACCCGUGCCAGCACCCAAAUGGGGCACUUUUUCGUGGACGGAGGGAG